rnacentral:rRNA from 1 species
GGGAGGGACGCGUCGGAUUAUUGGGCGUAAGGGCUCGCAGGCGGUUUCUUAAGUCUGAUGUGAAAGCCCCCGGCUCAACCGGGGAGGGUCAUUGGAAACUGGGGAACUUGAGUGCAGAAGAGGAGAGUGGAAUUCCACGUGUAGCGGUGAAAUGCGUAGAGAUGUGGAGGAACACCAGUGGCGAAGGCGACUCUCUGGUCUGUAACUGACGCUGAGGAGCGAAAGCGUGGGGAGCGAACAGGAUUAGAUACCCUGGUAGUCCACGCCGUAAACGAUGAGUGCUAAGUGUUAGGGGGUUUCCGCCCCUUAGUGCUGCAGCUAACGCAUUAAGCACUCCGCCUGGGGAGUACGGUCGCAAGACUGAAACUUAAAGAAAUUGACGGA